rnacentral:rRNA from 1 species
GAGUGAAAAAGAACCUGAAACCGUGUACGUACAAGCAGUGGGAGCACAGGUUUACCUGUGUGACUGCGUACCUUUUGUAUAAUGGGUCAGCGACUUAUAUUCUGUAGCAAGGUUAACCGUAUAGGGGAGCCGUAGGGAAACCGAGUCUUAAUUGGGCGUUAAGUUGCAGGGUAUAGACCCGAAACCCGGUGAUCUAGCCAUGGGCAGGUUGAAGGUUGGGUAACACUAACUGGAGGACCGAACCGACUAAUGUUGAAAAAUUAGCGGAUGACCUGUGGCUGGGGGUGAAAGGCCAAUCAAACCGGGAGAUAGCUGGUUCUCCCCGAAAGCUAUUUAGGUAGCGCCUCGUGAAUUCAUCUCCGGGGGUAGAGCACUGUUUCGGCUAGGGGGCCAUCCCGGCUUACCAACCCGAUGCAAACUGCGAAUACCGGAGAAUGUUAUCACGGGAGACACACGGCGGGUGCUAACGUCCGUCGUGAAGAGGGAAACAACCCAGACCGCCAGCUAAGGUCCCAAAGUCAUGGUUAAGUGGGAAACGAUGUGGGAAGGCCCAGACAGCCAGGAUGUUGGCUUAGAAGCAGCCAUCAUUUAAAGAAAGCGUAAUAGCUCACUGGUCGAGUCGGCCUGCGCGGAAGAUGUAACGGGGCUAAACCAUGCACCGAAGCUGCGGCAGCGACACUAUGUGUUGUUGGGUAGGGGAGCGUUCUGUAAGCCUGUGAAGGUGUGUCGUGAGGC